GGAGGUUACCGUGUCUUACACAAUUAAGACCGAGUUGUCCUUCCACGCGGUGCAGAGCUGGUGGUGCCCAAUUUAGAGUUAGAGCCACAAAUUAUGGAUCUGCGGUAGGCUUAUUAACUUGCUGCAUCCGUGCUUUACGCGCUGAGCUUGGUUGUCGGCAGCCCAUGUUAUCAAAUCGAGUGAAGACUUUUCUGAUAGAUUUCUACGAUACCCUUAAGGCUGCACCGGAAAUCACGAUGGGUUUCUUAACUUUUAACGCUCUAUUAUUUCUUUUUAUUCCAAAUACACCCGAAAUGCGAGCCAACUCAGCUUAUUGGCAAUCUGUUCAACGGAAAAAACUAUUCUAAGAAUUUUUACUUACAAUCUUGCAAGGAACACAAUAAAAA